GAGCCAGUGAGGACAUGAUCACUGUCUAGUCUGAGUUUUUGGGAACCAGGAGAUAAAGUGUGCUCUGACAAAAAAAAAAAAGUG